CAAAGCUGAAGACACCAUCCUAAAGGAGUAGAAGAGGAAGAUAGAUGUCAGGACAAAUUGUCUUCAUGUGGAAACUCAGCUGAAAGAGGUGUUAAAUUGCAGGAGGAGUAUCCGGAUCCUGCUGUGCCAACCCCACACUGGGGCAGCUGUAAUUGUGUUGCCACAACAUUGGAUUAACA
rnacentral:lncRNA from 12 species